UGGUAGCUGAAGCGGGGAAGGAUGACGCCAUGACGCAGGGAUGGAGGAGGGAGGAGAUGCCGUCUUACGACAGCGCGCCACCUACAGGUGUCGCUCGUUGACAGGAAGGAAAAUCAAAGUGUGACGACGCUUCCAGUGUGAGAUCAUCUUCAAACAGCACAUUCAUCCUGAGAAGAUUCAAAAGCUGAUAAAUCUCUUGCAAGAAAGUUAUUCGCUUCAAGUUAAAAACAAAGCAGAACAGAAUAGUUUGCAAGUUCACUUUAUUGUCAAUUAAUUCAGUAUGAAUAAUUCAGUUAUGCAACAUACAGCAACAUACAAAGAGAGUGUAGUGCUUUCCUCCAUUAUUACAAAACAUAAAUUACGUAGAUUUCUUCUAAAUAAAAAUAAGUGCUGUACUUUUA